rnacentral:rRNA from 1 species
UACGUAGGGGGCUAGCGUUGUCCGGAUUUAUUGGGCGUAAAGAGCGUGUAGGCGGCCAGGUAGGUCUGCUGUGAAAACUCGAGGCUCAACCUCGAGACGUCGGCGGAAACCAUCUGGCUAGAGUCCGGAAGAGGAGAGUGGAAUGCCUGGUGUAGCGGUGAAAUGCGCAGAUAUCAGGAAGAACACCCGUGGCGAAGGCGGCUCUCUGGGACGGUACUGACGCUGAGACGCGAAAGCGUGGGGAGCGAACAGG